rnacentral:rRNA from 1 species
CCUACGGGGGGCUGCAGUGGGGAAUUUUGGGCAAUGGGCGAAAGCCUGACCCAGCAACGCCGCGUGAAGGAUGAAGUAUUUCGGUAUGUAAACUUCGAAAGAAUAGGAAGAAUUAAUGACGGUACUAUUUAUAAGGUCCGGCUAACUACGUGCCAGCAGCCGCGGUAAUACGUAGGGACCAAGCGUUGUUCGGAUUUACUGGGCGUAAAGGGCGCGUAGGCGGUGCGGUAAGUCACUUGUGAAAUCUCUGAGCUUAACUCAGAACGGCCAAGUGAUACUGCAGUACUAGAGUGCAGAAGGGGCAAUCAGAAUUCUUGGUGUAGCGGUGAAAUGCGUAGAUAUCAAGAGGAAUACCUGAGGUGAAGACGGGUUGCUAGGCUGACACUGACGCUGAGGCGCGAAAGCUAGGGGAGCAAACGGGAUUAGAUACCCGAGUAGUC